GCAGCCCUUGGCAGUGAUCCUUAUAUAAUGAGCUAGUCAACCAGGGUUUCCAGCUGAAUUAAGGCUGGAGCUGAAAUCUUGAAAAACGUGUACUGAAAAGCUUCUAUACCUAUCUCAAGGAGACACGAUGCUGAGAUGCCAGUGUGCAUCACUGAGAAGCUACAUUGGGAUACACGUGGCCAGUGAGAUACAAGCUGAAGGCAACAGGGGGUCAAGUGGCCCAGGAGUCCCACCAGUGGAAUUGCUAUUAGUCAUGAUCAUUUACCUUCCCGAGAGGAAAAAAUAAAGUUAACGUGUGCAAGCCA
ensembl:lncRNA